GUGGGGAAUAUUGGACAAUGGGGGCAACCCUGAUCCAGCCAUGCCGCGUGAGUGAUGAAGGCCUUCGGGUUGUAAAGCUCUUUUGGCGGGGACGAUGAUGACGGUACCCGCAGAAUAAGCCCCGGCUAACUUCGUGCCAGCAGCCGCGGUAAGACGAAGGGGGCUAGCGUUGUUCGGAAUUACUGGGCGUAAAGCGAGUGUAGGUGGUUGCCAUAGUCAGGUGUGAAAGCCUUAAGCUCAACUCAAGGAAUGCACUUGAUACUGGGCGACUAGAGGACCGGAGAGGAUAGUGAAAUUCCCAGUGUAGUGGUGAAAUACGUAGAGAUUGGGAAGAACACCAGUGGCGAAGGCGGCUAUCUGGACGGUUACUGACGCUAAGACUCGAAAGCGUAGGUAGCAAACAGGAUUAGAAACCCGGGUAGUCC
rnacentral:rRNA from 1 species